rnacentral:tRNA from 2 species
GCAUUGGUGGUUCAGUGGUAGAAUUCUUGCCUCCCAUGCGGGAGACCCGGGUCCGAUUCCCGGCCAAUGCA